rnacentral:tRNA from 1 species
GUGGUGGCUCAGUGGUAGAGCACUCGCCUCACAUGUGUGAGGCACUGGGUUUGAUUCUCAGCACCACA